AGCGAACGCUGGCGGCAGGCUUAACACAUGCAAGUCGAACGGCCCUUCGGGGCAGUGGCGGACGGGUGAGUAACACGUGGGAACGUGCCCUUAGGUUCGGAACAACACAGGGAAACUUGUGCUAAUACCAGAUGUGCCCUUUUGGGGAAAGAUUUAUCGCCUUUGGAGCGGCCCGCGUCUGAUUAGCUAGUUGGUGGGGUAAAAGCCUACCAAGGCGACGAUCAGUAGCUGGUCUGAGAGGAUGGCCAGCCACACUGGGAUUGAGAACGGCCCAGACUCCUACGGGAGGCAGCAGUGAGGAAUUUCCGCAAUGGACGCAAGUCUGACGAGGCAACGCCGCGUGCAGGACGAAGGUCUUCGGAUCGUAAACUGCUUUUACCAGGGAAGAGG
rnacentral:rRNA from 1 species